rnacentral:rRNA from 1 species
UACGUAGGGGGCGAGCGUUGUCCGGAUUUAUUGGGCGUAAAGAGCUCGUAGGCGGUUCGAUAAGUCGGAUGUGAAAUCUCCACGCUCAACGUGGAGGGGCCAUUCGAUACUGUCGUGACUCGAGUCCGGUAGGGGAGUGUGGAAUUCCCGGUGUAGCGGUGAAAUGCGCAGAUAUCAGGAAGAACACCCGUGGCUAAGGCGGCUCUCUAGUACGGUACUGACGCUGAGACGCGAAAGCGUGGGGAGCGAACAGG